GAGACGGAGUCUUGCUCUGUCACCCAGGCUGGAGUGCAGUGGUGCCAUCAUAGCUCACUGUAGCCUCGAACUCCUGGGCUCAAGGGAUCCUCUCCCCUCAGCUUCCUGAGUAGCUGGGACCACAGGCUCACACCACUACACCCAGGCAGAUCCUAAAGUGGCUCCCAUGAUUCCUGCCUUCUGGUGUUCACAUCCUGUGCAUAAUUCCCUACUCUUGAGUGUGGGCGUGACCUGUGACUUGUUUCUCGUCAACAGUGUAUAGCACAGCCCAGGGUGGGGACCACAUUGCAAGGAACUGUGGGAAGCCUCUCGAAGCUGAGAGCAGAAUCCAGCCAAUGGCAAGAAGCCAGGCACCUCAGUCCUGCAGCCACAAGGAAAUGAAUCCUGCUAGCAACCCGACAAGGCUUAGAAAUGGAUCCUUCCCCAGUUGAGCCUCU